UACGGAGGGGGCGAGCGUUAUUCGGAAUUAUUGGGCGUAAAGGGCGCGUAGGCGGCUCUUUAAGUCAAAGGUGAAAUCCCUCGGCUCAACUGAGGAACUGCCUUUGAAACUGAGGAGCUUGAGUCCGGGAGGGGGUAGCGGAAUUCCCAGUGUAGCGGUGAAAUGCGUAGAUAUUGGGAGGAACACCAGUGGCGAAGGCGGCUACCUGGACCGGAACUGGCGCUGAGGAGCGAAAGCAUGGGGAGCGAACAGG
rnacentral:rRNA from 1 species